UGCGUAGGCGGUUUACUUAGUCAGAUGUGAAAGCCCCGGGCUUAACCUGGGAACUGCAUUUGAUACUGGUAGGCUAGAGUAUGAUAGAGGGGGGUAGAAUUCCUGGUGUAGCGGUGAAAUGCGUAGAUAUCAGGAGGAAUACCAGUGGCGAAGGCGGCCCCCUGGAUCAAUACUGACGCUGAGGUACGAAAGCGUGGGUAGCGAACAGGAUUAGAUACCCUGGUAGUCC
rnacentral:rRNA from 1 species